AACGAACGUUGGCGGCGUGGAUUAGGCAUGCAAGUCGAACGAAUCCCGGGGGCAACUCCGGGGGAAGUGGCGAAAGGGGCAGUAAUGCGUGGCUAACCUACCCUGGGGACGGGGAUAGCCUUCCUAACGGAAGGGUAAUACCUGGCGAUGUGGCGAGGGGGCAUCUUCUUGCCAUGAAAUGAGUUUCGCCUCGGGAGGGGGUCACGUGCUAUUAGCUUGUUGGCGGGGUAACGGCCCACCAAGGCUAAGAUGGCUAGCGGGUGUGAGAGCACGACCCGCGCCACUGGCACUGAGACACUGGCCAGACUCCUACGGGAGGCUGCAGUCGAGGAUCUUCGUCAAUGGGCGCAAGCCUGACCGAGCGACGCCGCGUGUGCGAUGAAGGCCUUCGGGUUGUAAAGCACUGUCGAGGGGGAGGAAAGCCCGCAAGGGUCUGACCUAUCCCUGGAGGAAGCACGGGCUAAGUUCGUGCCAGCAGCCGCGGUAAGACGAACCGUGCGAACGUUGUUCGGAUUCACUGGGCUUAAAGGGCGCGUAGGCGGCUUGCCAAGUCAGGGGUGAAAUCUUUCGGCUUAACCGGAAAAGUGCUUCUGAUACUGGCAGGCUGGAGGGAGGUAGGGGCAGAUGGAACUUCCGGUGGAGCGGUGAAAUGCGUAGAUAUCGGAAGGAACGCCGGUGGCGAAAGCGACGUGCUGGACCUUUUCUGACGCUGAGGCGCGAAAGCCAGGGGAGCAAACGGGAUUAGAUACCCCGGUAGUCCUGGCCCUAAACGAUGGGUACUAGAUUGUAGACUAAACAUGGGUUUACAGUCGAAGCAAAAGUGUUAAGUACCCCGCCUGGGGAGUAUGGUCGCAAGGCUG
rnacentral:rRNA from 1 species